rnacentral:rRNA from 1 species
AGAGAGAGACAUGCGCGCAUAUCAAUAAGCGGAGGAAAAGAAACUAACAAGGAUUCCCCUAGUAACGGCGAGUGAAGCGGGAAGAGCUCAAAUUUGAAAUCUUAAAGGGUUUCCCUUUACGAAUUGUAGUUUAAAGAAGUGUUUUCUGUUGGAGCUUCGGUAAAAGUUCUUUGGAAUAGGACAUCAUAGAGGGUGAGAAUCCCGUAUUUGGUCAUUCCUCCUAGCGUUGUGAUACACUUUCAACGAGUCGGAUUGUUUGGGAAUGCAGUCCAAAAUGGGUGGUAAAUUUCAUCUAAAGCUAAAUAUUGGCGAGAGACCGAUAGCGAACAAGUACCGUGAGGGAAAGAUGAAAAGAACUUUGAAAAGAGAGUUAAACAGUACGUGAAAUUGUCAAAAGGGAAGCGUUUGACACCAGUGUUGUUUUUCCGAAAAUCAAUUACGAAUGUUUUAUUUUUGAGGAGUUAUGACUUCAUCGGCUUGCUCCUUUCUUUAUGAAACUUUCUUAAUGCACUUUUCGGUUAACAAGUCAACAUCAAUUUCUUUUGUUGUAAAAGGGUAUGAGGAAGGUGGCUUUCUUUUCGGAGAAAGUGUUUAUAGCCUUGUGCCUCUGCAAUCGGAGAGAUUGAGGUCUGCAGCGUAGAUCCUUCGGGGUUAGAUACGUUUGUGCUAAGUUAUAGCUUUUCAUAGACAACUUGUUGACUAUGUUUAGUCUUGUAGGCUUACUCGCUGACGCUAUUUUACCUACGCUUAGGAUGUUGAUAGUCACAGCGUGUAC